CCAGACUCCUACGGGAGGCAGCAGUGGGGAAUAUUGGGCAAUGGGCGCAAGCCUGACCCAGCAACGCCGCGUGAAGGAAGAAGGCUUUCGGGUUGUAAACUUCUUUUCUGAGGGACGAUAGUGACGGUACCUCAGGAAUAAGCCACGGCUAACUACGUGCCAGCAGCCGCGGUAAUACGUAGGUGGCAAGCGUUAUCCGGAUUUACUGGGUGUAAAGGGCGUGUAGGCGGGAUGGUAAGUCAGAUGUGAAAACUAUGGGCUCAACCCAUAGCCUGCAUUUGAAACUAUCGUUCUUGAGUGUUGGAGAGGCAGGCGGAAUUCCGUGUGUAGCGGUGAAAUGCGUAGAUAUACGGAGGAACACCAGUGGCGAAGGCGGCCUGCUGGACAAUAACUGACGCUGAGGCGCGAAAGCGUGGGGAGCAAACAGGAUUAGAUACCCCCGUA
rnacentral:rRNA from 1 species